GAUCAGGUGUCCAAAGGAUAUUCAGAAUUUCUCCUGUCAAGUCCAAACAGGUCCUUAAAGCUGAACACUUGGUUUGCGCUCAAGAAUCCCCACUCCACUUCCAUCAAUCCAGAGAGGAUUCAGCUGUUACCUGCAGACACCACACCAAGCUGUUGUCAGAUGAUUAUGGGAAACACAGGGGUUGACAUUGAGAUGGAGUUAAUCGGGGAUGAUGAGAGGACAGUAUGGAAAUCAGUGUUAUCAAAAGAUGUAUACAGCAAAGACUAUCAUCCAACAGGUAAGUUUGUUUUUGUGGACGAGGUU